AGAGUUUGAUCCUGGCUCAGGACGAACGCUGGCGGCGGGCCUAAUACAUGCAAGUCGAACGCACUCGACCUUCGGGUCACAUGAGUGAGUGGCGAACGGGUGAGUAACACGUGAGAAACCUGCCCUGAAGACCGGAAUAACCCGAGGAAACUCGAGCUAAUGCCGGAUAUCCCCAUCUGGUCGCAUGGCCUAAUGAGGAAAUGUUCAGGCGCUUCAGGAGGGUCUCACGGCCUAUCAGCUAGUUGGUGAGGUAACGGCUCACCAAGGCAUCGACGGGUAGCUGGUCUGAGAGGACGAUCAGCCACACUGGGACUGAGACACGGCCCAGACUCCUACGGGAGGCAGCAGUAGGGAAUCUUGCGCAAUGGGCGAAAGCCUGACGCAGCCACGCCGCGUGAGGGAUGAAGGCUCUCGGGUUGUAAACCUCUUUCAGCAGGGACGAAAAUGACGGUACCUGCAGAAGAAGCUCCGGCCAACUACGUGCCAGCAGCCGCGGUAACACGUAGGGAGCAAGCGUUGUCCGGAAUUAUUGGGCGUAAAGAGCUCGUAGGCGGUUUAGUAAGUCAGGUGUGAAAACUCGAGGCUCAACCUCGAGAGGCCACCUGAUACUGCUGUGACUGGAGUCCGGUAGAGGAGUGUGGAAUUCCUGGUGUAGCGGUGAAAUGCGCAGAUAUCAGGAGGAACACCGACAGCGAAGGCAGCACUCUGGGCCGGUACUGACGCUGAGGAGCGAAAGCGUGGGGAGCGAACAGGAUUAGAUACCCUGGUAGUCCACGCCGUAAACGUUGGGCACUAGGUGUGGGGUCUAGCUAACAGAUUCCGCGCCGCAGUUAACGCAUUAAGUGCCCCGCCUGGGGAGUACGGCCGCAAGGCUAAAACUCAAAUGAAUUGACGGGGACCCGCACAAGCAGUGGAGCAUGUGGUUUAAUUCGACGCUACGCGAAGAACCUUACCAGCUCUUGACAUGCUAAGUUUUGGAUUUAAGAGAUUAAAUUCUUCAGUUCGGCUGGGCUUAGUACAGGUGCUGCAUGGCUGUCGUCAGCUCGUGUCGUGAGAUGUUCGGUUAAGUCCGGCAACGAGCGCAACCCUCAUCUUCAGUUACUAACAGGUUAAGCUGAGGACUCUGGAGAAACUGCCGUUGGAAAAGCGGAGGAAGGCGAGGAUGACGUCAAGUCCUCAUGGCCCUUAUGGGCUGGGCUACACACGUGCUACAAUGGUAAUUACAAUAAGUCGCGAAAUGGCAACAUUGAGCUAAUCUUUAAAAAUUAUCUUAGUUCAGAUUGUUCUCUGCAACUCGAGAGCAUGAAGUUGGAAU
rnacentral:rRNA from 1 species